GUGUCAGCCGCCGCGGUAAUACGGAGGUGGCAAGCGUUGUCCGGAUUUACUGGGCGUAAAGGAUGUGUAGGCGGAUAUUUAAGUGAGAUGUGAAAUCCCCGGGCUUAACUUGGGGGCUGCAUUUCAAACUGGUUGUCUAGAGUGCAGGAGAGGAAAGCAGAAUUCCUAGUGUAGCGGUGAAAUGCGUAGGUGUAAGGAAGAAUAACAGUGGCGAAAGCGGCUUUC
rnacentral:rRNA from 1 species